AAUAGAGACAACAGACACUGGAUUCUCGUCCUGAGAGCUUGUUAGAGUGGUUACCAACUGUUGGGCUUUGAAGUCGCGUCCAAUGAUUUUCCCAAGGGCUAUUGAGCUAGUCAUGAUGUUGCGAUUGUUGCUCCUGAUGUUCCUGGGGCUCCGGGCUAGAGGCUGGGGCACCUUGGUCACGAAACCGGGAAUGCAUGAAGGCGCUGAUUGGGCUACUGCUGCUCUCGUUUGCACUGGAUUCUUCCAUUUCAUGAUGGAGGCGGUUGUACUCAAGCUUGUCUAGGAGAUCCUCUGCAUGAUACAUGACAUCUCGGAGCUCCUGCAUCCAUGGAAGAGAGCUGUGGGGGAGUGUGGGCGCCAGCUCAGUUCCAUGGAGAACUGACUGUGUGCGAAGCAAAGCAACACGAAGCCUGUCUAGCUCAUGGUCGAUGCCACAGUUGGCUGCCCACCUCCGGAGCUUGUAGGAAAGAUACUUGUCGAAGAUAACCUGGAUGAACCAGCCACCUACAGCCAGGUAGCUGGAGAUGUCCAUACUGCUGAUUGUUGAACUUGCUGUUUUUCUUCUUAAGAUCAAUAUUGAUAUUUGCUGCCAGGCUACCAGGUCAAAGUCUUCCACCAAGUCUUUGUGAAGUUAUACCAGGGGCUAGUGGAAUCUAUUCAUUUUCGAAAACGACUCAUUUCUCAGCUUUAAUGAUUUAUUACGUCUCUAUGAACUUUAGUGCACUCUUUUAACCUAACCCUUGUUGCUACAUUGACCUGUUGUAACUUUUUAUGUUAAGUAUUCAGUAUCUAGUCCUAGAAUUUGUUUGGAUGUUAGAUAGGCCUCUGAGUAUCACCAAUUUACUUUUAAUGGAAUUUGGGACAAAUUCUUACAA